rnacentral:rRNA from 1 species
UACGUAGGGGGCAAGCGUUGUCCGGAAUCAUUGGGCGUAAAGAGCGUGUAGGCGGCUCGAUAAGUCUGCUGUGAAAGUCCAGGGCUCAACCCUGGAAGGCCGGUGGAAACUGUCGGGCUAGAGUCCGGAAGAGGCGAGUGGAAUUCCUGGUGUAGCGGUGGAAUGCGCAGAUAUCAGGAGGAACACCGGUGGCGAAGGCGGGAUCCUGGGCCAGUACUGACGCUGAGGAGCGAAAGCGUGGGGAGCAAACAGG